CAAGUGCAUGGUGCUGCUUACAUGCUUUAUGGAUUGACAAUUUCAAAUUGCCAUUCAGGUUUUAAGCUUUGGGAACUUUUUAAUAAUAGAUUGUGUUCUGGCAGCUCCAUCAAACAAAGCAUCAGCUGAAGAUGCACCAAAAAAUGUCUAGAAAGACCUAUGUAAAGGUCAAUUAGAAAGAUUCUGUUUAUAGUCAUCCAAUGAGGUAGCUUUAAUCAAAUUUAGAGUCUUUUUUAGGAUUGUCUAGUAUGCUGUGGAAUUAAUGCACCAACUAUUGUCAUUCUUAUUUCAUAUCCAUAAUGACUACUUUUAUUUAUAUAGAGAAUUGCACAGUGUUAAAUAGCAUCAUUUGAUUUAGGGUACUCUAACGUGUAAGAAUGCGAGUGGGAAACUAAAGCUUUAGUAACCAAGAAGCUAUUUACUUACGCUUUUUGUAGUGCCCUGUGAAGCACAGAAAUUAUCUGAAAAAUUAAGUGUACUUCUUUUUUCCUAGCAUUAGGAAGUUGUGUGAGCCUUUUCCCAUCCACUAAAAUCUUAAUGGAAUUUAAGCUAAUAUACAUUUUUCAAGGUCAUUUGUAAGUUUUAGAAUUCAGGAAAAGGAUCUUAGGUUUCUGAUGGUUUCAUUAGGAAGUUGUUCUGGCUACCUAAGACGGGUAUUUUCGAGACAGCUAAGGGAUAGCUAUAUGUGCAUCAAAGAACACAUUUUCUUUUCAAAAGGGCUGCAGCAGGUCAGUUUCUAAAUAUAAAGUGAAAAUUAUCAAAUUAUCUCUCUUCUGACAGUAACGUAAUGAAAUGAAACACAUUUAUUGUAAAGAAAUCCAUAGAUCCUCAGGAAGAUCUACAAAAGCAGGUCACACAGGGCUCCUUUUAUUUAUUUACUUAUUUUUUACAUUCUAGCUCUGGCUGCCCUGAUUCUGGACCUUUGGAUGUCUAAUUUAGGGCUUCAUAAGAGGCUUUUCUCUAAGGGAACGGGCUGAGUUCCCUAACUCCUGCAAGGACGUCUGGAAUCACCUUGUGUGGUCCUGACCUAUACUUCUCAUUUCAGCUCAUCCUCUACAUCGUACCUGGCCUGACGGGCUGUGAACUCUCUGAAAUUAAAAAGAAUUUUAAUACAGGCAAUUUUGCCAUUUGUACUUUCUAAUAUCUAAGACAUUCUUUGGUUGGCAAUCAUCUUACUUGAAAUGGAAAAAAAAAAGAUGUACUAGCAACUGUGAACGUCAAUUUUAGAAUGUUCAAUUAAAAUAGAAGUAAAGACAGCACUUAGUAUAUACUAGGCAAUUUACUCAUACUUUUUGAAUAAUUCAAAUAAUAAACGAUUCUUUACCUUGAAACCAUGGAAAACCCUGUUGUUAGGCACUUCGACAGCAAAUUGGUGUUAGACCACUUUCAGUGGUCAUCCUAAUUCAUCCUUAUCUGUGGGAGAACCGUGUAUUCAUAGACUACAUAUAAUUUAUAAAGCAUACUUUGACAGUGCUAAGAAUCCAGCCGGGACCCAGUACACCCUCAAGAAUCUCUAGGUAUAGGUGUACGUAUAGAUAUAGGUGUGGUAUAGGUAUAAUAUAGGCAUAGGUGUGGACAAAGGUAUAGUUGUAGGUUUAUAUAAAAUUUUGUCUGCUGCCACUGCCUUCCUAUUAACUUCUUAAAAAACAUAAAGACCAUUGAAUGAGAUAAUUAGUUAUGGGGCUGGGAUAGAAUCAGUCCUAUCGAUCCAUAUAGCUUUGGAAGAUAGUAAGUACCUGUUUCCUAGAAAAGAUUUGGAAGCUUGAU